rnacentral:lncRNA from 1 species
AUGGAAAGUACCAUCAGAGACCAAGAGCAAUGUUGACACAGAGGAGGAGAAGAUAGGACACUCACCUGGAGCCUACACCAGAGGGGAUCCUGCAGUCAUGGCUGGUCCGGCCCAGAUGAUAAUGUGCAGUGGCAGCCCCCAAAGAGAGAGAUGAUGGCCCACUGUCUGAGUAGAAGGAAGGAAACAGGACAAGAGCUUUCCGAUGGCCACUUUGAAAAGUCUGCCCUUUCUCUUUCUCUCUCUUCUCCAAGAUUCUGGGAGGAUGCCCCACUGUGGUCCUGAGAGGCUAAACACCUGGUCCCCAACACAGCUAACUGCUUGGUAUCUCCUCUUCUCUGUCAUUGAGCAAGUCAUGUUACAAGAGCACCCAAAGCUCAUCCAUGUGCAAUGCCAACCACUCCACUGCCUCGAACCAGGAUAAAAGUGGAGACUUCCUCCAUGAAGCCGCAGCUCUUUCUUUGGCUCCUUAGUUGAAACUUCCCAGGUAUGUGUACUAUAAACAAAUUAUAUGCGUAUCAUGUAAAUCUGUGCUUGUGGGAAAUUCAAAUGAUUGUAUGUGAAAAAAUUAUUGUCUUUCUUCACUCUCCCAACUUCCCCCGUUAACUGAUCAUGACUAUUAUUUUAGUGUGAAUCAUUCUAGACUUUUUUCUAUGCAUUUAUAUACUUAUUAUUUCAGAAAGUGGUAUUGCACUAUUCCUUGGUGACCUGCCUUUUUAACUUGGCAUUUCUUGAUCUUCUUGUCAGUAUAUAUAAAUCUAUCACCUUCUUUAAAAUUUUUGUGUAGUUUUCCAUAUGUGGGUGAAUAUAUUUGCCUUGAGUCUAUUGGUGAAUAUUUAGCUUUCUGCUUUUUUAAUGUUAAAAACAAAUUUUCAGUGACUAUUUUUUGGUUAAUAGGCAUCUUUGCAUCUGUAGUUAGCUGGUUGAUUGCCUGGGCUGACUGGUUUAUGAUGGCUGCAUCUGGGACAGCCAGGAUGACUAGGGCCGUUUUUCCCACAUGGACUUUACCUCAACAGGCUAGCCUGGAUUAUUCCCAUGGUGGGCACAGAGUUCCAAGAGCUUGAGAAUGGAAGCCGUAAGGUCUCUUGAGGCCUAGGCUCAGGAUUGUAUACCACUAUUUUUGUGCAUUCUAUUGGGCAAAAAAGCUACAGGAGCAGCCCAGAUGUAGGGGGUGAGAAAAUAUACUCUACCUCCUGAUUGGAGAUGCUGAAAUAUUGUGGCCAUUUUUCAAUCUCCUGCAGAAUUCCAAUUCAGACUGAUGUUUGCUGAGUGAUUUAAUCUUUGGAGUUACAUGUGAUGACCAUACUCAAAAUCUAUCUUUGGCAAUGCCAGGUAGAAAUAUAAAUAGCAGUAGAGUAGAAGUCUGAACACAAAUGACUUUUUUUUCUCCACUGAAAGUGUAUUGGAUUUUUAGGGAACCUUUC